UCAGUUGUGAAAGUUUGCGGCUCCACCGUAAAAUUGCAGAUGAUACUGGGUGUCUUGAGUACAGUAGAGGCAGGCGGAAUUCGUGGUGUAGCGGUGAAAUGCUUAGAUAUCACGAAGAACUCCGAUUGCGAAGGCAGCUUGCUGGACUGUAACUGACGCUGAUGCUCGAAAGUGUGGGUAUCAAACAGGAUUAGAUACCCUGGUAGUCCACACAGUAAACGAUGAAUACUCGCUGUUUGCGAUAUACAGUAAGCGGCCAAGCGAAAGCGUUAAGUAUUCCACCUGGGGAGUACGCCGGCAACGGUGAAACUCAAAGGAAUUGACGGGGGCCCGCACAAGCGGAGGAACAUGUGGUUUAAUUCGAUGAUACGCGAGGAACCUUACCCGGGCUUAAAUUGCAGAUGAAUUACGGUGAAAGCCGUAAGCCGCAAGGCAUCUGUGAAGGUGCUGCAUGGUUGUCGUCAGCUCGUGCCGUGAGGUGUCGGCUUAAG
rnacentral:rRNA from 1 species